rnacentral:lncRNA from 1 species
CAGCAGCCUCACCAUACAGUUCCACAUUCAGCCGGCUCACAGAUACAGUUUCACAUUCAGCCAGCUCACAGAUACAGUUUAACAUUCAGCCGGCUCACAGAUACAGUUUCACAUUCAGCCGGCUCACAGUACAGUUUUCACAUUCAGCCGGCUCACAGAUACAGUUUCACAUUCCGCCGGCUCACCAGAUAAGUCACUAUCCUGCUUAUAUGAAACAAACAAAACAGUGUACCGAGGAGCUACAUUUGUACAUUCACCUCAUAAAAUGAAGUAAACUAUCAGCCGGCUGGGCUUCAC